rnacentral:rRNA from 1 species
UACGUAGGGGGCAAGCGUUGUCCGGAUUUAUUGGGCGUAAAGAGCGUGUAGGCGGUUUGGUAGGUCCGUUGUGAAAACUCGAGGCUCAACCUCGAGACGCCGGCGGAAACCAUCAGGCUAGAGUCCGGAAGAGGAGAGUGGAAUUCCCGGUGUAGCGGUGAAAUGCGCAGAUAUCGGGAAGAACACCCGUGGCGAAGGCGGCUCUCUGGGACGGUACUGACACUGAGACGCGAAAGCGUGGGGAGCGAACAGG